UUUGUAGGUGGUCUGUUAAGUCAGACGUGAAAUCCCUCAGCUUAACUGGGGAACUGCGUCUGAGACUGAUGGACUUGAGGGCAGGAGAGGAACGCGGAAUUCCAGGUGUAGCGGUGAAAUGCGUAGAUAUCUGGAGGAACACCGGUGGCGAAGGCGGCGUUCUGGACUGUUUCUGACACUGAAAAACGAAAGCCAGGGAGCAAACG
rnacentral:rRNA from 1 species